GACGAACGCUGGCGGCGUGCCUAAUACAUGCAAGUAGAACGCACAGUUUAUACCGUAGCUUGCUACACCAUAAACUGUGAGUUGCGAACGGGUGAGUAACGCGUAGGUAACCUGCCUGGUAGCGGGGGAUAACUAUUGGAAACGAUAGCUAAUACCGCAUAAUAUUAAUUAUUGCAUGAUAAUUGAUUGAAAGAUGCAAUUGCAUCACUACCAGAUGGACCUGCGUUGUAUUAGCUAGUAGGUGAGGUAACGGCUCACCUAGGCGACGAUACAUAGCCGACCUGAGAGGGUGAUCGGCCACACUGGGACUGAGACACGGCACAGACUCAUACGGGAGGCAGCAGUAGGGAAUCUUCGGCAAUGGACGAAAGUCUGACCGAGCAACGCCGAGUGAGUGAAGAAGGUUUUCGGAUCGUAAAGCUCUGUUGUAAGAGAAGAACGGGUGUGAGAGUGGAAAGUUCACACUGUGACGGUAUCUUACCAGAAAGGGACGGCUAACUACGUG
rnacentral:rRNA from 1 species